rnacentral:rRNA from 1 species
GAUGAACGCUGGCGGCGUGCUUAAUACAUGCAAGUCGUACGGUCAGGCCCUUUCGGGGGUACACGAGUGGUGACCGGGUGCGUAACACGUGCGUAACCUGAACCCAACUUUGGGAUAACGCUAGGAAACUGGUGCUAAUACUGGAUCUGUGCUCCUGCUGCAAGGUCGGGGUUGGAUAGCUCCGGCGGGUGUGGCUGGACUUGCGGGCUAUCUGCUUGCUGGUGGGGUUGUGUCCUACCAAGGCGGCGACGUGAAGCCGGCCUGAGGGGGUGACCGGCGACAUAGGGACUGACGUGCGGCCCAGACUCCGACGGGAGGCAGCAGUGGGGAAUAUUGCAGAAGGAGCGCAAGGCUGAUGCAGAAGGUCCGCGUGCGGGAUGACGGCGUUCGGAUUGUAAACCGCUUGCAGCAGGAACGAUGCUUUUUGUGACGGUACCUGCAGAAGAAGCACCGGCUAACUACGUG